GGAGGGGAGUAGUCAAGAUGUCAAAAAAUUGUCUUAGUUUUAGGAAAUUUCUUAAAGAAUAAAACCAGGGAUGGGGGUCACCCUCUUUUGAUCUUUCUUUUUGGAACUGCUCUGAUCCUCAACCUAUUUAAGUGGUCUGCAUGCCAGUUUAGUGGCACUGUCAUCAAUCAUAUGUGAAUUAUAGCAGUAGGUAUAAUGUCAGCCAUUUGAAAGCUUCCAGGAAUCAGACUCCGGCUCACUUUUAUAUGGUGCGUUUGUUGUGUAGGAUGAUUCCCAACAGGGUUGACAAAACUGUGUGUGUGAUUUCUUUAAGAAUCCAACAGACACUCAGAAAUCAAGCUGCCAGUGAAGAACACACCCGCCUUUCCAUUAGACAAUUCUUCCCCAUUAACAAACAGUGCUAUAUGCCUGACAAGUUCCUAUUUGGUCUGUGCGGAGGAAAUGUCAACAACAUGAAGCAAACAAGCAAACACUGAGGACCAACAGUCGACUGAGACAGAAGUCAGAAAGGGCUGUCUGAAAAUCUGGGAAAUGACAAGAGGUGUUAGAGAGCAACCUUGGAUACACUUUCUCCAGUGUCUGCUGAUGGUUUUGUAGGAACCUCUUAUUUUCAGAUGGUGGCCUGGCAGCAUCCUGAUUCGUUGUUAAACCAUCAAGUAAUCCCAUUCCCUUCCUCCAAAUUUGCACACGCAAACUCAUCUGAGGCUGGAGAAGAGACUAGGGCAGAGGGAAAGAACAUGCGGCAUUGAACUGUUGGCGUUUUGCAGUAGUGGAGACUUUGGCUCUCUUUGACAUAUUUUGGCUGAGCCAACUCAACACAUUCCUGGGCAUCAGAGUAACAGAUGCCUUCUAUAAGAAGAGUUUGUACCUCCUCCUUACUAGAGCAGCCAUCUGCUUCAUUUUAACCCUGGAACUUUUUGGUUCCUGUGACACCCGAUCAAAGUGAUGGCAUUCUGGGAGCAGGGGAAGGAAGCUGGAGUGGCUGAGGAUUAGAUACAGCAGAGACAUGGUAAACCCAGAGAUAACAUAUUGUGCAGGAUGAACGGCAAAAUUAAAAGUGAGAAAACUGCAGAAAAACAAACUUUAUAUAUACUGAACCCAUUCAAGUGAAACCCAGAGAAAGUCAAUCCAAAUCCCACUGCUUCAAUCAAGGAUGCCCAACAGACAGCCCUUGGACAGGAGCAAUUCUCAAGAAAAUCUGUGAAAAAGAGACUGGGAAAAUAGCUGUAAAAUGCCUUCAGAUUGGUAGCUGUAGCAGCCUUUCAUCUGGAAGCACCUUGAGAUUCACUCUGCUGCAUACAACUGUGCUCACUUUGUGAAGAGUUCUCCAGCCAGACCAGAAGCAAUUCAAACACAUUGGGAUGACUCAGAAUGUGUGUGCCGCAUCCAGACUUCCCUUCUUUUCCUAGCUUGCUGUGCCAACUGGUAAGGGAGGGAAUUACCAAGGCACAUGAAUGAGAAGAUUCUUCUAGUUCAAAUGCCCUUCUUUCAGUCUCAGGAUAGUGGUGGCCUGAACGUGGUCUCUGAGCUUCUCGUUCUCAAGUCCUCUGCUGACAAGCUCUAAGAGCAGUUGAGACCCGUUCCCUUGCUUGUUCUAUAGCUCAGACAGCUACUGAGUCUGGACAGGGGUAGUAUGCCAUAGCAUGCUGUAACCUGAAAGAAAACCUAAUGUAUCAAAAAAAAAAA